AGAGUUUGAUCCUGGCUCAGAUUGAACGCUGGCGGCACGCUUAACACAUGCAAGUCGAACGGCAGCACAAGAGGGUAACCGUCGUGGGUGGCGAGUGGCGGACGGGUGAGUAACGCGUAGGGAUCUGCCUGUUAGAGGGGGAUAAGCCGGGGAAACUCGGUCUAAUACCGCAUACGCUCUACGGAGGAAAGUAUGGGAUUUUAUUACCAUACACUAACAGAUGAACCUGCGUUAGAUUAGCUAGUUGGUAGGGUAAAGGCCUACCAAGGCGACGAUCUAUAGCUGGUCUGAGAGGAUGACCAGCCACACUGGAACUGAGAUACGGGCCAGACUCCUACGGGAGGCAGCAGUGGGGAAUAUUGGACAAUGGGGGGCAACCCUGAUCCAGCGAUGCCGCGUGUGUGAAGAAGGCCUGAGGGUUGUAAAGCACUUUAGUUGGGGAGGAAGAAUCCAGAUAUGAAUAAGAUUUGGAAGUGACGUUACCCAAAGAAUAAGCACCGGCUAACUCUGUG
rnacentral:rRNA from 1 species